rnacentral:rRNA from 1 species
GACGAACGCUGGCGGCGUGCCUAACACAUGCAAGUCGAGCGAGUGAAUCUCCUUCGGGAGUGAAGCUAGCGGCGGACGGGUGAGUAACACGUGGGCAACCUGCCUCAUAGAGGGGAAUAGCCUUUCGAAAGGAAGAUUAAUACCGCAUAAGAUUGUAGCUUCGCAUGAAGUAGCGAUUAAAGGAGCAAUCCGCUAUGAGAUGGGCCCGCGGCGCAUUAGCUAGUUGGUGAGGUAACGGCUCACCAAGGCGACGAUGCGUAGCCGACCUGAGAGGGUGAUCGGCCACAUUGGGACUGAGACACGGCCCAGACUCCUACGGGAGGCAGCAGUGGGGAAUAUUGCACAAUGGGGGAAACCCUGAUGCAGCAACGCCGCGUGAGUGAUGACGGCCUUCGGGUUGUAAAGCUCUGUCUUCAGGGACGAUAAUGACGGUACCUGAGGAGGAAGCCACGGCUAACUACGUGCCAGCCGCCGCGGUAACAC